CCUACGGGUGACUGCAGUGGGGGAUAUUGCACAAUGGGGGAAACCCUGAUGCAGCGACGCCGCGUGUGGGAAGACGGUCCUCUGGAUUGUAAACCACUGUCGCCAGGGAGGAAGAUGACGGUACCUGGGGAGGAAGCUCCGGCUAACUACGUGCCAGCAGCCGCGGUAAUACGUAGGGAGCGAGCGUUGUCCGGAUUUACUGGGUGUAAAGGGAGCGUAGGCGGGACUGCAAGUUGGGUGUCAAAUCUACCGGCUCAACCGGUAGCCGCACUCAAAACUGCAGUUCUUGAGUGAAGUAGAGGCAGGCGGAAUUCCUGGUGUAGCGGUGAAAUGCGUAGAUAUUAGGAGGAACACCAGUGGCGAAGGCGGCCUGCUGGGCUUUUACUGACGCUGAGGCUCGAUAGUGUGGGGAGCGAACAGGAUUAGAUACCCCGGUAGUC
rnacentral:rRNA from 1 species